rnacentral:rRNA from 1 species
UUCCGUAGGUGAACCUGCGGAAGGAUCAUUAACGAAUUUACAAGUCGGUCUUCUGUGCUGGCGGAAACGCAUGUGCACGUUGAUCGCAAAUCCACACACCUGUGAACCUUUGACUUUGAGAUUCGCUUGCUCGACAAGCAGCCGGUCGACCUUUUGGUUGGCUCGAGUCUCGAAGUACAUUUUUAUACACUCUGAAUGUAAUGGAAUGUUCAUGUGCAUAACGCGCAAAAAUACAACUUUCAACAACGGAUCUCUUGGCUCUCGCACCGAUGAAGAACGCAGCGAAAUGCGAUAAGUAAUGUGAAUUGCAGAAUUCAGUGAAUCAUCGAAUCUUUGAACGCACCUUGCACCCUUUGGUAUUCCGAAGGGUACACCCGUUUGAGUGUCAUUGUAAUCUCACUCCUCGACUUUGUUGUCUUGGACGUGGACCUGGGCUCUGUCGUGUGUCACGACUGGCCUCAAAUGCCUGAGUGCACCCUGCUGUUGCGGCGUCUUCAGUGUGAUAAGCAUCUUCACUGGAACAAGCUCCCUUGUGGACACGCUCGCUUUGUGGGCU